UACGGAGGGGGCUAGCGUUGUUCGGAAUUACUGGGCGUAAAGCGCGCGUAGGCGGAUCUGCAAGUCGGGGGUGAAAUCCCGAGGCUCAACCUCGGAACUGCCUUCGAUACUGCGGGUCUCGAGUCCGGGAGAGGUGAGUGGAAUUCCUAGUGUAGAGGUGAAAUUCGUAGAUAUUCGGAAGAACACCAGUGGCGAAGGCGACUCACUGGCCCGUUACUGACGCUGAGGCGCGAAAGCGUGGGGAGCAAACAGG
rnacentral:rRNA from 1 species